rnacentral:rRNA from 1 species
GGCGAACGGGUGCGUAAUACUUACCUAACCUGCCCUUUAGAGGAGGAUAACUGAUCGAAAGAUUAGCUAAUACUCCAUAGGAUAUUUGUUCGCAUGAACAGAUAUUUAAAGUUGCGUUUGCAACACUUUAGGAUGGGGGUGAGGCUUAUCAGAUAGUUGGUGAGGUAACGGCCCACCAAGUCAAUGACGAGUAGCUAUGCUGAGAGGUAGAAUAGCCACAAUGGGACUGAGACACGGCCCAU